AUUUUACUUUUUAAAUCAACUUAAAUAGAAUUUUAUAUUCUCCAGUUCAUUAAUUUUUAAGUGAAACUGAACAAAUCAAUCUUCCCUGGAAAAUUCAUGGCCCUGUCUUUGCAUUUCUUGAUUUAGAGAAGCCACUUUUCAGUUCCUAGAUUCACUGGUUUGAAAAGAUGAAAAUUGCCUAAGCUUCAGUUGUUGUAUUUUAUUUGUUAUUUGUAGGCCCAAUAAUACCAUGUACUACCUGGAGUUGUUGAGAAGAAUAAAUAGUGGAUAUAUUAAAAUGGUGUAGUAACAUAUCAGACUAAGAGAAAAUACUCAAAACAUAUAAACACACAUGGCUAUGGAAAUUUGUCUUACCAAGUCUUUAAUCUUAAUUUUUCUUUUUUAGUCUAUCAUACAGGAACCUGUAGAUUUAUAAAUAUAAGAUAAAGUUCAAUCAAACCAAUGCUUAUUUUUCAAAACCAAUGCACAGUGUAGUCAUAUGUUUUCCAGGAAUAAACUGACUAGCUGUGGCUUUUAGGGGUAGAAGAUAUUAUUAGGAAUAAACUAGAAUUAAGAGCAAAACACUGCUCAAAAGAUGUUUAGGACAGUCAGUCUUAAAAAUCAGAAUUUGUAAAGUCUACCUGUAUAAUCCAUUCAUGAAACCAAUUUUAAACUUGUUAUUUGCCAGACAGCGUAAUCAGUGUUAGAUGUUGCCAGUACAAAGAUGAGCAAAAUGUGAUACUUGAUAUAGUGAUAAAACAACUAGACUUGUAUAACAGAUGCUGCAGUGGAAGUUUGUAUGGUGUGUAUGGGCAGAAGAGAGUAAAUUUUUUCCUAAAAUGUGAUGAAUUCUUAGAGACAGUCUAGGGCUGAGCCAUAAAACUUGAAAAUGACUUUGCUGACUCAUGGAUCAGGGUAAAGGCAUUCUAGUAGAGGAGUAAUAUGAAUAAAGCUUUGAAGUGACAAAAGUAUGAGCUGUUCAAUGAGUUUUAAGUAGAUCAGCUGGCUUGGGUGUGGAGAUGCGGGUGGUGUGCAUUGAUCAAGAGAACCAAAGAGUUAAACAAGAGGCAGAUCACGGGGUCUUGAAGACAUAGUGAAAGUUGGCAUUUAAUGUAGUAAACAUGGGGAGUCACUGCUGGGUAUUUAGUAAGGGGAUAAGAUACUUAUAUUUUUACUUUAUUAGCAUUAUUCUAACGGCAUUGGAGAUACAAAAUAUGAUAAGUGGGAGAUUAGAAAAAACAGGAAAGAAUAAGAAAAUAAUUUCUCAGAAUAGAAGUAAAAAUUUCAAACAAAAGACUAAAUGAUUUAAUCUAAAAAUAUCCUAAAAAUAAUUAUGUCCAAGUAAUAUUGGAAUGGAAGGAUGAUUAAAGAUUUGAAAUUUAAUUUUUAAUGUUUAAAGGGAAAAAGCCAUAUGUUUAUCUCAUCAAUAGAUAUAUAUUUAAUAAAAUUUAAUAUGAAUUUAUGGUAAGAAAUGUAAGCUAGGAAGAGAAUAGAACAUUAAUAAUAGAUCUAGGCUAAUCCUACAGAAACCCACAAAUAUCAUUAUAUUUAAGGGGCAAACAAUAAAAGCAUUCUCAAGACAGUUAAUAACAGGACAGAGAUGCUUACUCUCACUAUUACUAUUCAGCACUGUUUUGAUGUCCUAACCAAUGCAAUCAGAAAAGAAAAAUAAAUUAAAGAGGAACAGUUGGAAAGAAGGUAAAUUUGUUGUCACUCAGGAUGUUACACUUGUCUCUAUAGAUUUAAGAGAUGCUACAAAUAAUUAGAAAUAAUAUCAUCAAGGAUACUUGGCAUAAGGUCACCAUAUAUAAUCAAAGAGUAUUACUGUAUGUCAGUAACACCAAAACAAAGUUAAUUAAAAAUCCAAUUAACAGUAACAAAAAAUUCUGAAAAUAUCUUAUAAAUAAACAUACCACAAAAUAUAUGGGAUUAUAAUGACGAGAAGGAAAUAUGAAUAUAUGACAAUAUGAUAUAUCAUAGGUUAGUAACCAUGAACUGUCAUUACCAGAAAUAUUCCAAUUCCUUUUAAAUUAAUUUACAUAGUUGCUGUAAUUCCAGUAAUACUCCCAAAUAAUUUUUCAUGGAAUUGACAAAGUAAUUCUAAAACUCUUUAUGGGAAAUUCGUAUUCUAAAAAUUGUUCAUAAAAUUCUAAAAAAGAAAAAGGAGGUGGGGAUUAGGCCUUCCAAAAUACCUAAUUUUAUUUGUUAAACUAUGAUAAUUGUAACUGUGGUUUGAGCACUAAAUAAACAGAGUAAACACAAUAAAACAAUAUCUUUAUGGGACUCAAUAACAAUACCAAAAACAGAUUCAAAUUUCUGUGUGUCCUUGAAGUAUGCUAAGACAGGGAUUGCUAAUCAUUGUAAGAUUAUUCAGUAGAUGCUAAGACAACUGGUUUGCUAAUGAAUAUAAAAAAACAGAAACAGACUCAUACAGAGAAUAAAGUAGUGAUUACCAGUGGUGGAAGGAAAAGGGGAGGAGCAAGAUAGGGGUAGGAGACCGAGAGGUACAAAUUAUGUGUAAAAUAAAUAAGCUACAAGGAUAUAUUGUACAGCAUAGGGAAUAUAGUCAAUAAUUUAUAAAAACUUUUGAAUAUAAUUCAUAAAAAUCUUGAUUUACUAUGUUGUGUAUCUGAAUGUAAUAUAGUAUAAAUCAACUAAACUUAAAGUUAAAAAUAAGAAAUAGAAUCAAGAUAGUCUAUAAUAUUUGUAAACUUAUACCUCAGGAAACUAUAGUUAGUUUUUUCAUUAUUGUGGCAGUUGUUUUUUGGUGGAGACUAAAUUUUUCUUCAAACACUAAGUUCUUACUAAAUUAAUAUUUGUUUUAUUAAGAAGGCUAAUAGUUGCCUGAAAUGGAGGGGCAAAUUUAUUGGCAGCAUUUGUAAAAUAUUUAGUGGAUUUUUUUCUGUUAAGGGUUCCAGAUUUUCAACACAAAUUAUUUUGCCUUAAAUUGGUAGUUUUAGGCUUUACAUGAGCCAUGAUUAAAUACAUAAAAUACUGGAUUGAGACACCACCUUUACUAUAAUUAAAUGUAAAUUUAGCUCCAUGGUCAUUGGUGGUUCUCAUCCCUCACUGUGCUUGAGAAUUACUAGAGAGCUUUUAAAAACUAGUGAUAUUUGGCCCACCCAUAGAAAUAGUUUCAAUUAAUUCAGAUUAUAGCCCAGACACUGGUAUUUUUAAAGCACUCAGUACUUGAAUCCAAAAUGUAGUCAAGUUUGAGAACACCCUUAUUGACCAUUAAGGUCUUUUAAUUCUCUAUCAUUCAUUAUUUCUGGAUAGAGUAAUUGCUGUUUAAAAACAAAACAAAACAAAACCAAAAACCCUAUGUCUAUCUCAGUGGCUCAAACAAUAAAAAUUUAUUUCUCCUUAUGUCACAGCUCGGUGUGAGUGUGGGGAGGUUAGUGGGGAGAGUACCCCCCCUUUAAUCUAGUAACAUCUUCAUCCUCUAAAGACCUCAGAACUUUUUGCUUGGUAAAUAAGGGAAGAAAGAACAAGGAGGAUCAGAGGGAUGUCUUCUUUUAAGCCUUGAAUUAGCAGAUAUAUCCGUAUUACCUUAGCCAGAUUCAAGUCUUGAGGUCUCCACUUAAGUUCAGGGAAGUCUGGGGUUCUAGUCUUAAUUGGUGCCUUGGGGGAAAGGAAACAGGGCUUGCUGAAUAGGUGGCAACCUCUGCCUCUUCUCCUAUUCAGAUAUUAUCUAAAACAGAUUUUGAUGAAGACAAGCAGAGAAAUAUCCUAGAAGACAACAUUAAAUGAUAGCUCAUCAAAAACUGCUUUAUUCCUUAAAUUUUUGUUUGGUGUCUUGAAAAAAAUAAGAUUUAGAUUUUAUUUUUAUAUUUAUUUUUAAUCCUGGGAUUUGGAUUCAAGACUUUUGAAGCUGACAGCAGUGCAGGGAGGAACAUACAGUCAGUAUAUAGAGAAUUAUGUAAACACUUAAAGUGCUUUAGGAAUUCAGAAAGAUUGAAAGGAAAUCAAAGUCACAUUUUAUCACCCUUUGAUUAUCAACAAUAACCUCUUAAGUAGGACUAGAAAUUCUUCUUUUUUGGUAUUAAUGUCAGUCAAUGCAUUAUUCAUUAGAUAUUCAUACAGAUAUUCAACUUGGUUUCAUACAUUUUUCUUAUUAUUAUUUUUAAAAAUUUUAUUGAGGUGUAGUUGAUUAACAGUGUGUUAAUUUCUGCUGUACAACAAAGUGAUCCAGUUAUGCAUAUAUUCUUUUUCGUAUUCUUUUCCAUUGUGGUUUAUUUGAAUAUAGUUGCCUGUGCUGUUUAUCCAUACUGUAUAUUAUGGUUUGCCUCUGCUAAUCCGAAACUCACAAUCCUUCCCUCCUCCGCCCUUGGCAACCACAAGUCUGUUCUCUAUAUCUGUUUCUGUUUCAUAGAUAUGUUGAGUUUUGUCAUAUUUUAGUUUCCACAUAUAAGUGAUGUCUUAAGGUAUUUGUCCUUCUCUUUCUGACUUACUUCCCUUAGUAUGAGAAUCUCUAGGUCCGUUCAUGAUGCUGUAAAUGACAUUAUUUUAUUCUUUUUAAUGUCUGAGGAAUAUUCUUAUACAUAUACUACAUCUUUAUCUAUUCUUCUGUCGAUGGACAUUUAGAUUGUGUCAGUGUCUUGGCUGUUGUAAACAGUGCUGCUCUGAACAUAGGGGUGCCUAUGUCUUUUUGAAUUAUAAUUUUGUCUGGGUUUAUGCCUGGGAGUAGAAUUGCAGAAUCAUAUGGCAAUUCUAUUUUUAGUGGUUUUUUGUCUGUUUGUUUGUUUUUGUUUUUGUUUUGAAGAACCUCCAUACUGUUCUCAGUAGAGGCUGUGCCAGUUUAUACUCACACCAGCAGUAUAAGAGGGCUCCUUUUUCUCCACGUCCUCUCCAGCAUUUAUUACUCGUGGACUUUUUAAUGAUGGCCAUUUUGACUGGCACACACUUCCUUUUCAAACCUUUGUUGAUAAAGGUUUGAGCAGUGUCAUUGUAAACCUGCUCAUAUGGGAAAGAGAAUUACUGAGAUUGUCUCUAACGUUUUAUAUGGACAUUGUGUUGUAUAAGUGUAAGUUUUGAAUCACAAGACUUUUUCUGGGGGCUUCUAUUUAAAGUAGGGUUAAUUUCGUGCUGUUCUCAGAUAUUGGAAAGAAUAUAGUGUUUUAAUUUACCAGGAAUGUCUAGGUUCUUCCAACAGAUAUGAAGAAUAAGGUAAAUUAAACUCCACAUUCCAAGAUGUUAUUAAAGAACAAUAAGAGUUUUAUUCUCCUUUAUUCUAAACUCAAGACAUUGUAAUGAGUUUCUUAUUUUAAUAGUGUUUGACAGCAUGCUCAAGAGAGAAUACUAAAUAAAAAACUGCAAACACUUGGUUUUACAUGGAUGUUUUAACUACUGAGGGAACAUUAAAAGUAUGAAAAUUAUUCUUCAGUUUAUUAUAGGAGUUUAUUAGCAAAUCAAAAAUCAGAAUAUUAUUUUAUAGUCACGUUUAAUACCAAAGUCUAACUUUGAUGAAUUGUUCUGUCUCAGAUGUGAUUAAUUUUGAUUAUGAAUUAUUUAAGCUAUUCUACAGUCUAUUUCUUUGGUUUGUCUAUUAGUCAUUUAUCCAGGGAAUAAAAUAUUUUAGUAGUUAAAACUGAUUUCAGUGGUUACAUUAGUAUAUUAGCUUGCAGAAUAUUUAGAUUUUUAGAGAACCAGAUAGUCUUCAGUAGCUUAGUUAUAUAAAUGUAAGUGCAUUUCUUAUAGCAACUAUAUUAGGUAAUGCAGGACUUCAUAUUUGUUUUAUUUUUCCUGAUUUAUUCAAUUCUGGUAUUUGUUUUGUGUAAACUUAGGCACUUCUACUUGUUGGUUUUGCAGUUUGUGUAAGGUAUUUGUAUUCUUGGAGUUGCAGCUUCUAUAUGUGAUUGUUCUGCAUUACUUGUAGAAUCAUAUGAUCAGAAGCAGCGGGUUUUCCAUGAAAGCCUUGCCCCUGACUCAUGGAAGGAUUCAGUCCUUGGAGCCUACUACUGGCUCACCAUUUAUCUAUAGCUACUACACAGUAAAGCCUCUAUGAGAGUUGGCCCUUUUUGUUGUAAACCUUCACUUAAAAAGUACGCGUAGUGCGUGCACAUGACUGGUUAUAGAUCACAGUGUCACACUAUAAAGUUUGGUUUAUUUAAUUGCCUACAGUGAGCAUAGGGACAGUUUUAACAUAAGAAAUGAGUUUGGGAGAGGACAUAUUUUAAACCACAGACAGUAAGUUAAUAACUUUG
rnacentral:lncRNA from 1 species